rnacentral:piRNA from 1 species
UAGGAGUACAUGGGGUGACCUGUUAAUUC